rfam:Acyrthosiphon pisum strain LSR1 Contig38624, whole genome shotgun sequence.
AAAACGGUCCUUUUCAGGACCAACCAAUCAUAAUGCAGUAUUACCG